rnacentral:tRNA from 5 species
CGGGGUGUAGCGCAGUCUGGUAGCGCGCCUGCUUUGGGAGCAGGAUGUCGGAGGUUCGAAUCCUCUCACCCCGACCA